ACGAGUUAGGGUCUUCCAGGCCCGACCUCCCAACCCUCUGUUUAUUGAACCUUUGUUGCUUCGGCGGGCCCGUCUUUACGGCCGCCGGAGGAUCGUCGACAGGCGUCCUCUGGCCCGCGUCCGCCGAUGGCCAACCCCAUUAAAUUCUGAAAUGAACCGUGUCUCUGUCUAAGUCCUUGAUUAAAAUCAAAACA
rnacentral:misc_RNA from 1 species